rnacentral:rRNA from 1 species
UACGGGAGGCAGCAGUGGGGAAUAUUGGACAAUGGGCGCAAGCCUGAUCCAGCAAUACCGNGUGUGUGAAGAAGGCCUGCGGGUUGUAAAGCACUUUCAAUUGGGAAGAAAAGCCUGAGGAUAAUACCCUUGGGUCUUGACGUUUCCUUUAGAAGAAGCACCGGCUAAAUUCGUGCCAGCAGCCGCGGUAAUACGGAGGGUGCGAGCGUUAAUCGGAAUUACUGGGGGUAAAGCGCGCGUAGGCGGCUUGUUAAGUCAGAUGUGAAAGCCCUGGGCUCAACCUGGGAANUGCAUUUGAUACUGGCAGGCUAGAGUAUGGUNGAGGGAAGUGGAAUUCCGGGUGUAGCGGUGAAAUNCGUAGAUAUCCGGAGGAACAUCAGUGGGGAAGGGGACUUCCUGGACCAAUACUGACGCUGAGGUGNGAAAACGUGGGUNGCAAACAGGAUUAGAUACCCCNGUAGUCCCCCCCGUAAAAGAUGUCAAAUAGCCGUUGGGNUCAUUAUAAGGGCUCAGUGGCGCAGCUAACGCGNUAAGU